rnacentral:tRNA from 1 species
ACCUGGGUGGCUCAGUUGGUUAAGCGUCCGACUUCAGCUCAGAUCUCACGGUUUGUGGGUUCAAGCCCCGCGUCAGGCU